rnacentral:lncRNA from 1 species
GUAACGGCCCCGGAAAUAUCAAAAUGAAAUGGGUAUUUAAAUAUAUCAAAUGCGGAAGCGAGAUCAAAAUUUCAGUUAACAUCCCUUACACGAAAAACCAAAAACGUACUUAAAAUAUAAAAGAUUAAACUAACUAAGAAAGAAACUCGAAAAUAAAACUAUGAGUAUGACUACAGAGUCUCUAGGCAUCCCCUUCGUCGUCCUCCUGCGGAACGGGCUCGGGAACCAUGUCUUCCUGAUCUGAAAUGGUUAAAUAAGGAGUGAGCUACACUAGCCCAGUAAGAACAUCACGAUAUCUCACCGUCACGGAGGUAAAGGUGGGUAGAAAAACACAAAAAGACCAAUGGAGCAUAAUUUACAACAAACUCGUUUAUUAACAUGAAAACUUUUACCAUCCACUUACCUCGGUGGAAUUUAUGAAAACAAUAUAAGAAAAACAAUAACAUUAUCAUAAUCAUUGAAUAAUAUGAGCUGUAAAACAUAACACUUAUCACGCCCCUGGAAAUUUCAAUCAUUGUACAACAUAUCUUUUUCUUAUUUACCAGCCUACUAGUAUCCGUGGGGGUCCAAGGGGUUCCGCUACCCGUUAACCUUUAACAUUCAUAAUCAGUUUCCAGGGCCGUCCCCCAUACCCCGUCCGGUAUGGGCGCCAAAACCAUGAACCUCAAUACCCCGUCCGGUAUGAGGGUGAAACGGGCCGUCCCCAUACCCCGUCCGGUAUGGGCGCCAAAACCAUAAGAUCUCCAUACCCCGUCCGGCAUGUGAGACCACAAUCCCGGUAGGGUUCCCUACGGACCCGGUCCGUCCACCAUCUCCCAGGAUAUCUAGUCAGGCUGACCCCCAUAAUACAAUUAUCAGUCUACACAAUCUUUCAUUUUCCUUUUCCUCAAUCAGCAUCAUCAAUUCACAUUUAAACAAGCAAAUCGUAAUUCAUACCAAACAGACAACAUACAGUAUCAGUUUUUUCAGUUAUUCAACCCAUAAUUAAUAAAAACGUAGUACAUGCACACAAAUCUGUAAAAUGAACACAUCAAACCUCAUUUUGCAUUUAAAGCUGUAAACAGGCCAAAUAACAGUAAAUCAUCAAUCACACUAGACUCGGGCUCCAUUAGCAACCUUAAGCAAUUUCACACAUGCGUUAAUUCAAGAAAUACCGUUUUAUCAUUUUGAACUUUAAUACCGUGAUAGGAAAUAGGGUGAGGGGUCCUUACUUGUUUUCGGGAUCCGAAUACGAUUCACAGUGCGCCUGCAGGC